CGUAUCUCCAAUACAAUAUGAUACCCUCCGAUACGGCCACCACUACCGAUACUUUAGUCCUUGGCUGAUGGAUCCUAUAUGAUAAUAAAAUUUAAGCAUGCACUUGAAUUUGCCAACACAUAUGAUUCCUUUGUAUUUUGUUUUAAUUUGCAACCUUUUUCCUUUUUAAUAUAGAUAGGGAUUGACGUACUUACAUGAUGCUAAAAUUUGAGCACCAAAUAUAUUGCCACAUGACAGUAAUUGCCAGUAUUCGAGCAUUUUUUCAUCCCCUCUCAAGAUCAGAAGGAUUGCACUUAAACUUAGUAAUAAGGUUAUGGCACAAAUAGUUAUAUAACAUAUAUUUUAUAAUAAUAUUUAUCUGAAGGGGGGCAAAUGUGUCCAAAUAAUAGUUAUGGUCACAUUUUUGUAAGGAAAUUUGAAGUGAAAUACUAUUUUUCCGCUCUACUAGAGUGUUCAUCUCUGCCUAGAGUGUCCAUGAAAGUGUUUAUUUUUCUUUCUUUUAUCAAAUCAUCUAAUUUAAAUCUUUUUCGUCUCUCUUUAUUUAUGUUCGUGUUUAUUCUAGAACUUUCUUGGAGGAAUCUCCUUCCACACACCCUAUACCUACAUCAUUUGCUCUGGCACUGCCACCAUUACCAGAUCCACCAAUCCAUGUGUCCCAUUCAUUGGGCUAUGCGGUGUUGCUACACAUAACAAAUUCGUUUUUCCAGCAUAACAAUUUCUAUGCAAAUUGAUAUUAAUUUUUUUUAAGAACUUCUGUUACUGUAUAAUAAUUAACUAUAAUCAAUAGUGUUAAUCAGGCGCAACUUGGCCCAGCCCAACCCAAUUAGGUUUAAGUAGAGUUGAGCUGAGAUGGAUUGAGCCACGCAGGGUUAGUCCUGGGUUAAAUCUCUUAAUCCGACCUCAAAAUUGAAUUGGACUUGGAUUGAGGUUAGAAGAUUAAAAUUUGGACUGAGGUUUUAAAAAUCCGGCCCUAUUUCACUCCUAUUUUUCCUUCUUGUGACUGUUUCUUCCCCACCAUACGGAGGGGUGGGAUCUGGGUUAUGUCAUGUUUUUCCCGCGUGAGCAUCAAGAGCGUUUCAUAAAAAAGGAGAAAAUUAGAAAAGGUUCCAGAGAGAGAGAGAGAGAGAGAGAGAGAGUGAAAAGAGUGGGAAGAGAAGAGGGUUUGUGCUUCCAACAUAAGGUUUGAACCCAUUUCACCCUUUGGGCUCUAUUCGAUCAGAGUCGCCAACUUCCGAUAGCGAAUAUCGUCUUAUUGUCAGGGCUUUUGCUGUUAUUUCCUGUCAGAUUUUCGGCUGUGGAUCUAGAAAGGAGAGAAUUUUAAGAUCACUUCUGGUUCUUUACAUUCAAAACGUGAGCUCUUUCUUCGUCUCGAUAUUUUCCUUAAAUUCAUGGUUUCUGUUGGUGAUCGUUCGAGGUUAUAAUCAAGAAAUGGUGAUAGUGUAAUACAGGGUUUGAGAAGAGAGAGAGAGCUAUAGUCUGAUUCUAUCUUCUGCCCAACUAUAUUGAAAAAGAUGGAAGAAGACCUUAAACCCAUGAGUUCUACGGCUAACUUGCAUUCCGACGACAGUGGUGGCAUGGAAGCUCGUUUUACAGAGCUCUGCAAGUUGUUCAAAGAAAGCAAGAACCUGCUACGCUUGCACUGCCUUUUAUUCUUCGACGCAAUCCAUAGCUCCCAUCUCUUCUUCUCUCCUCUUCCCUACGAUCUCUCUCUCAAAGUUUCACUUCAAUGGGACUUCUAUUGAGCAAGAUCUUCAUCUCUGAAACAAACUCCCCUUCCGUGGCCUUGCUGGUUGGGAGGUUGAAGGUGAUUCCCUCCAACCCCAUGACUUGUCUUUGAGAAUUGGUUUCCCAUAUUACCCCUUCGUUCCAUCCUUAUUUCUGUUUGUCCCUAUUUUGUUUUUAGUUCCAAGUUUACCCUCCCAUCACUUACACAUUACAUUCCUUUGUUGUUUCCUUUCUCUUAUUUUGAACUCUUAUAAAUUAUGUCAUCAUUUGUUACUUUCCUUUAAUGAGUGCUGCAUUGAGAUAUAAAUUUCAUAGUUGCCAUUACUCUUGCAAAUUGAACCUUUACUAUCUUAAGUGAGCUCAUAACCAAACCCAACAGGGUGUUUUUUACCUGGGUAACGUAUCAACAGUAACAGGACAACACAGAAUUCUGAUUGAGAGCUGUUUAGAACCUGUAGAAUGAUUCUGCAGAAGAUCUCAGAAACCAGAACCAAAAUAUGCUAUCUGUAGAUUAAUAGAGCAGAUUUCAAGAUUAAGAGAUCAAGUCAGAAUCGAAAGAAAUAUGAUAAUUCAGCACAAAAUAGUCAAAUAGUUCCAAAUUCCUAUUGAUAACCUUAUUCUAAAUAUAGAUAUAGUGAUGCAGUUGCAAUAGACAAGAAUGCCAUAAGGAGGUCUAUGCGCAAACUUGGGAGGCUCAUAAGGUGUUGCUGGCAGUCCAAUGGGCUGAUAUUAACCUUUGUGUAAUUAUAGGUUGGGAUUUUUUUUUUGGGUUUCACCAUAAUGGGCCUAAUUUAUAAGUCCAUAAAGUGUGGAUAAAGUUACAAUUUGUGAAUUAUGGAAUAUUUAAUUCAUCUUAUAAAUGUGUUGUUUUUGUC